CCUACGGGAGGCAGCAGUGGGGGAUAUUGCACAAUGGGGGAAACCCUGAUGCAGCAACGCCGCGUGUGGGAAGAAGGUUUUCGGAGUGUAAACCACUGUGCUUGGUGAAGAAAAUGACGGUACCUGACUAAGAAGCCCCGGCUAACUACGUGCCAGCAGCCGCGGUAAUACGUAGGGGGACAGCGUUAUCCGGAUUUACUGGGGGUAAAGGGAGCGGCGACGGCAGCGCAAGUCUGAAGUGAAAUCCCAGGGCUUAACCAUGGAACUGCUUUGGAAACUGUGCAGCUGGAGUGCAGGAGAGGUAAGCGGAAUUCCUAGUGUAGCGGUGAAAUGCGUAGAUAUUAGGAGGAACACCAGUGGCGAAGGCGGCUUACUGGACUGUAACUGACGUUGAGGCUCGAAAGCGUGGGGAGCAAACAGGAUUAGAUACCCGAGUAGUC
rnacentral:rRNA from 1 species